rnacentral:rRNA from 1 species
UACGUAGGGUGCGAGCGUUAAUCGGAAUUACUGGGCGUAAAGCGUGCGCAGGCGGCUUACUAAGUCAGGUGUGAAAGCCCCGAGCUUAACUUGGGAAUGGCGCUUGUGACUGGCGGGCUGGAGUGUGGCAGAGGGAGGUGGAAUUCCACGUGUAGCAGUGAAAUGCGUAGAGAUGUGGAGGAACACCGAUGGCGAAGGCAGCCUCCUGGGCCAGCACUGACGCUCAUGCACGAAAGCGUGGGGAGCAAACAGG